UACAGAGGUCUCAAGCGUUGUUCGGAUUCAUUGGGCGUAAAGGGUGUGUAGGUGGCGCCGUAAGUGGGGUGUGAAAUCUCGGGGCUUAACUCCGAAACUGCAUUCCAUACUGCGGUGCUUGAGGACUGGAGAGGAGACUGGAAUUUACGGUGUAGCAGUGAAAUGCGUAGAUAUCGUAAGGAAGACCAGUGGCGAAGGCGGGUCUCUGGACAGUUCCUGACGCUGAUACACGAAAGCAUGGGUAGCGAACGGG
rnacentral:rRNA from 1 species